GGUACUUUUACUUGAGUAGAAUAUUUUUGUACUCUUUUCACCUCUGCUGAUGGGAGAUUCAAAGACAGACUGAAGCUGGACAAGAAGACUGGAUCCCUCACCAUCACAAACAUCACAACUGAACACAUUGGAGUCUAUAAUCUACAGACCAUCAGCAGGAGAGGGACAUUGUACAAAAGAUUCCUUGUUACCAUCAGACUACAGAAAGAUGUUCUGAUCCUGUGGAUGUUUGGAGAUGAAGAUAACCUGAUUGCUCAAAUGAUGGGGAAGACCAGAGGAACAUACAGUAUGAAGGUACUGAUGGGAGAUUCAAAGACAGACUGAAGGUGGAUAAGAAGACUGGAUCUCUGACCAUCAACAACUCCACAAUUGAGCACUCUGGACCUUAUAAACUACAGGUCAGCAGAGGGACAUCAUACAAAAAAUUUAAAGUUGCUAUCCAUGCGAGGAUGAUUUUAGGAGGGAAAGAAUGUUAUUCUAAACCCUGAUACUGAAACACAGAGAGAUGAUCUGAUCCUGUGAAUGUUUGGAGAUCAAGAUAAUCUCAUCGCUCAGCUGACUGGAGAGACCAAAGAGACCACAUACGCUGAUGCUGAUGAGAGAUUCAGAGACAGAUUGCAGCUGCAUCUCUGACCAUCAAGAACAUCACAAGCAAACACUCUGGAGCUUAUAAACUACAGAUUGUCAGCUGCAGAAGGACCUCGUCAAGGAGUUCAGAGUUUUCAUGUGUUGUGAAUCUGGUCCCAAGACGGUGUCAUUGAUGGCAGGAGGAGAAUGUUUAAUUCUAAUCACUGAUUUUAAUGUAGAAAGAGGUGAGCAGGUGCAGUGGAAACAUGAACAUAAAACCCUAGCAACUGGAAUGAAUGGAGACAUCAAUAACACUUCAUAUAGUGAUGAUGUGAGAUUCAGAGACAGACUGGAGCUGGAUCAUCAAACCGGAUCUCUGACCAUCACAAACACCAGAACUGAACAUACUGGAGUUUAUCAACUAAAGUUCCUCAGCAGAUGCGGAAAGAAAGUUUGCUGGGAAUUCAAUGUUACUAUCGGUGGCGAGUAACUCAACUACUUACUCUACUUAUAUUCUACUUUUUAUAGGUUAAAAAAGCUUCAGGUAUUUAUUAGAAAAGUAAGUGCUUUGUGAUCAUUUGCUUGCCCUCAUGCCGUUCCAAAUGUAUGACCAUGUGACUUUUUAUUCUGACUCUUUCUUUCUUCAGAAGAUCCAGAUUAGUUCAUUAGAAACUUCAUGCUUUUCAAAAUGAUGAAAACCUAAGUAGAAUUAAAAUGUUUAUGCUUCAAAGAUAAACAAAUGUCUUGAGGGUUUUAAAACAACAAAUAAAUAAUGACAGAAUUAUUUUAUUCUAAAUAAAGGCAAUUGUUCCAUUUAGUGUAAGUUUCCAAAAAGGACCAAGCCGUCCAUAUAACUUGUGCACUAAAAUCCAAGUCUUCCUAAGUUUGUGUGAGGAACUGGUCCAGAUGUCACUUCAGCUUAUACGUUCUCAAAUCACAUUUGCUUAUUUUAAC